GUGUCGCGUGUGCUUUGACACAGGCGAUGUGAGACACUCAUGUUCCACACAGCGAACGGGAGGUCUCCGUGCACGCAUGCACGAGCUCACUGGAAGUGAAUCCCGUGACACAAUUGUGAGAUGGAGCCACGGUGGCUUUGCUGGUUCCACUUGGAUUCCAGAAGAGACAUGAAACUGUACCAAAUGUACCAAAUGUAAUCUGAGAUCAACGUUCUGGAGGUGGGGGAUAACUACGUCGAGGCAAUGGAGACACUCGAUGGCCAGAGAGUUGAAGGCCGUAAUGGGAUGCGGCCAGUGCGAGGCCCGUCUGUCAGAAGGUUUAUUGCCCCGCGAUUUGGAGCAAACUCUGGACUUCAAGCAAAUGGAAUCAUUCAGAAAACGAGUUAAAGGAUUCUGUAUCAGAGCAUUGAUACGGUAGUAAACGGAUAUUAUGGAGCUUUUGGUUGCUGCCAUCGCUUUUUCUUUUUUGCAAAUAGAAGGGACAGGAAAUGAUGGAAAAGUAAGGCCUACAAUAUUGGACAAAACCUUUAAAAGGAUACACAAAAUGCUAGAAUUAACAUAAAUAAAAGCACAAAAAGCAAAUAAAAGCAAAUCUAUUUUCAGAUAGAAAGAUAGUUUUCCCAAAAACUCAAAGGCUCCUUGGAGCUGCUUACCGCUGGUAUGCAUGAUGAAAGAAAGCCAAACCUUUACUGUAAUCUCCUUCAUCGUAACCUAAUAUCUAAAAAAAAAAGCCCAUUACAAUGUAAAGAGCUGCAUGCAGUUAACUGAUGACCCUCAGGCUUCAGCCUCUCAGGGGCACAAUCCAUUCUUCCAUCCAAAAGCCGUACCGGCUCGGGGGAACGGAGCCAAUGGUCGCUGCUCACGUUGGGUCCGUACGCAGGGACAGAAAACCAAUUGGCAAUUAACCGCGGGGUGAGAAAUCAGAGCAAACUCAAGAUGACGGCGAGUACAAGCAAAUGUUACACAGGAAGGGCUCGGGGGGACCGGCCGGCACGAGUACGAUAUGCUAAACACAUCAACGUCAGCUUUCCUGAAAUGAGAUCCCCUUGAGCCUUAUAGGUAUCUCAAUAUAUCCGUUACAGCGGUUGUGAUUGGGUUUUGAGCCUGGGCCAAAAACGCCUUCACGAGGUGUUUGAAAUUGAAAUCAAGGGGUACGAAUUUCAUUUGGGAUCGGGGGCCGGUUAAAGAAGCCCCCCCCCCAAUCUCCCCCCGAGCAUAAAGGCAUAGCAGCUAUGUUUUAAAUUAAGCAACCAGGAGAUGUGGAGACAAACCGAACCUCAACAAUGCCUCAACAGUGCCUCGGUGGUCCUGCUCUCGCCGUUUGUUGUUGCUUGAGGUUCCGAACAUUGUCUUCCCCCAAAACCGCAACCCUCAAAGUUGUUCUUUCUUCCCAGUGUACGUGUGCCUACUGUAUCCUCUGUGGCUCGCAUCUGCUACAAAAACAAUGUUCUCAGUGGUGGUCGGCUGGUACAGUACAAUGCAGCCCUCAGUAAUCCAAAACUGUCCUCACCGAGGGGAAUAGGGAAGGGGAAAAUUUAGAAACCAUAUCUUUUUCAUCUCGCGCGGUCAGGAAUGUGAGCGUAAGUAUUAUCUGAGAGGAGGGGGGGACGGGCGGUAGGUGGGGGCUCUGAGAGCAGAACUCACUUAUAAGUGAAGUACAGCGAAGCUUCCAUGUGUGACUGUUCCUGGUCAAGCACAUUGGAUCCCAUUUUAUAAAGUACUUAGAGGCUCUGUACACCCCUCGGUGUAAUGAUGAACUGUUAAUACCACCACGUGUAAUUACUUGUAUAAUAAACCGCUCAUAAUCACUCUAGAAGCCAUUUACUUACGGCACUUCAGGCAAAGAUAUCAAUCAGUGACAGAGGGACACAAGCCCAGAGACUUGGGAUAACAAUCAAAAACACAACAAGAGUGACCUUUCAGUGUAAACCGACUCGGUCGUCUUGUUGCCAGACGUGAAAUCCAAGGCCCCUGGCAGGAAAUCCAGCGCGUGCUGUUGACAUCGCAACUCAUCCGUGACAGACAAGGAAAAACACUCGUGGAGAGGAAGAGAGAAAACGGCAGAAGACAGAGUGCUGUCGUUGGUCAAUAUUACAACGUUCAGGGAAGGAAAUAAAGAGCUUUUAAAGCAGAGAUUGCAGAUGUUGGAAAUGAUCACGUGGUUGCUAAAUACAGCAGUUGGAGAACUGUGCUGUUACUUCUGUGCAUUACAAUGUCGAUAAAUCACAUUUUGAAUAAUGGCUGCAGAGUCCAUUAAAUCCGGCAUCUUUGCGAAGGUUUUAGUUGAUGCGGUUUCUGUCACGUUUGUCCAUUUCAUUUCAUAUUAUUGGUCCCCGUAUAGCAUUACUAUUAAAAAUCAACAGUAAAGACACUGUAAUUUGUUACAUUUAUAAUGCCCCCAAGCACCUUUAGGAUUGUAGCUCUGCUUUGGGGCUCAGCAGUGUGCCGUACAGAACUGGGGCUGGUUUUUAACGUCCAUUAUAAAGCGUCAAAUAGUGGCCUGUAGUUUGUCUUUUGGGGGCAGUGAGGAGAAUCUGGGCUUGAGCACAGCUGGUUUCUGUGCGAAGUGGACUAUGCUAACGAGAAAGUCACUUAGCAUCUGAUCAACGUGCAAAGGGGAAAACAGGAAUUACUAAAUGUAUGACCGUUGAACGUUACGGGUGGGUAAGUCAUUAUUAACGGCUGUUAAUGGACGCGUCCUUCAGGCAAAUUCACCGCUGCAGAGAGACGUGGCCGAACCUCCAUCGUCUCCUUUUCUGGACGUUGUUGAUGUUGGCAGUACGUCGGUUUCUGAUGCCGCGAGAGCCGACUCAGGGUGCUUCUUUCUCGUUCACACACACACACACACACACACACACACACACACACACACACACACACACACACACACACACACACACACACACACACACACACACAUUUGGAUGGGAAAUGUGUGUUGGCAAUGUGACAGGAGUUAGUAACAGAAAUCUGAUCCACUGUGGAAAAAAAUACAGACGAGACUCUAAACUCUAAACGCGAUGCAACAGAUAGUAAUCAUAAACUUUUAUUCUGAAUGUAUCUUAUUUGCACAUGAAUUCACACAUUUUUACUCCCCAUGAUUAUAAACAUUGUUCUUUUUGUUGAGGACACCAUCAGUUUUGUACAAAUGUUUACAUGUUUGAUUCUGGAGAAUCAAGUUCCAGUAAAGUGUAAGCCCGCCUUAAAACCGAAGGCGGAGAAAGAUUGACUGACAGCCAAUCGUCUGCCAGAGAGUGGCAGCGAGCUCUAAAAGCAGCAAGUUGGGGCAUUUUUGGCGGUUCUAUACUUCAUCACUUAAAAGACCAUACCGGUCUUUUCCGACUUUUCAGGCAGGCGUCGUUUUCCAUUACUUUCCCACACGGAACCCACGACAUCACCAACGGCACUCACUGUUCACACGUGUGUCAUGUAAAAAACAAAAACAUUUCAUUGAGAAGCAGACUGAAGACUCUGCAAACUGUUUGAAGGAAAAAUGCAGCUCUGAUGGGAUCGUUUGGUGAGUCUGCAGCCGAACCAGCAGCUGUGUGUGCAGCGCGUCAACAACAUUAUUUUCAACUUAUUUUCAGUCGAUGUUGCUUUCUUAUUUUUACUUUCACAGCAGGAAGCAGCUGAGAUCAAGGCCGACUGCAACGCGGUUCGUUUUAAAAAGUAUUUAAACCAAGUUGUUGAACAAAUUGAACUUUUGAACAUAUUCCAGGGAUUACAGGAAGGUCAACAAUUCAAACCAGCUGAAUGGCAACGAACCAAACAGCCGUGGAGACGUUUCCCUCUGUGCCGCAACCCGAGACGACCCGAUGCUGACCCGGGAGGAGGGUGGAGCCAAACGCUGUCCCGCCUCCCAAGAGAAAGGCAGUAAUAGCUGAUCAUCACAAUACGAAUGCAGAAUGUUAUCCUUCCCAACAUCACACACUGAAGCAGGAGGCGUGAAUAGAUUGUAAAGCCACUACCGCGCAGCGCGGGGACACGGUCCAUGAGACGUACGUGUUGUAUUGGGUUAGAGUAAAGAAGUGCACACAGAAGAGUUUCAGUCGAUGACGGCGGAGCUUUGUCAAAAAAGAAAACGGACCAACCAGCACGUCUUGAUCGGACGUGGAGACACUACUGAUAUAAAAACUGACGUGGCCAGUAUGACGCAGCAGCAGUUAUAAUUCUGUAGAGAAUAAUGUGUGGUUGUCUCCUAUAAACAUACUCCAGCACUAAACACUAAACACAAAGAUACAGAUGUGUUUUUGUGGUGUAUGAGGCAUCCUCAAAAUCCCCAAAUUUGUUCCUCUGUUGAUGUUUGGAAUCUGAAAAAGCAAACCAUCAAGUGCAGCUGUUUCAAGUAAAAAUGACACUUUUAUGGUCACGGUUUAUAUCUGCCUGAUAUAUUAUUUCCUGCCUACUUGAAUUGACGCCUCUUCAUCAAUCCUUGUCCUCAAGUCCAUACGUAGAUACGUGAAUUAAACGGAGAAAGGCCUGUAGGUUUCCACAUAUUGCAACAUAAGGAUGGAUUUACAUUUUCAUCCUGAAAGUUGUUUAUUAUUAUUAUUAUUUAACUCCCUUUGACAUAGUUAGUACUGCGUUGGCGUGUAGCUGCUUUAAGAUUCCUGAUUUGGUCCUGUGAAAUGAUUUGCUUUUAAUUGUUUUUAUCAGAUUUAUUUUGCUCUGCAGCAGCGGUUUGACUAAAUUGACUAAACUGCAAACAAGAUGAC
ensembl:lncRNA